rnacentral:rRNA from 1 species
GCCUCAGAUGGGUAGGACUACCCGCUGAACUUAAGCAUAUCAAUAAGCGGAGGA